AAUUUCAUGUCUUUUGUAUUAAAGAAUUAAAUGGAUGAAAUAUGAAAUUUUAUUAAAAGAAAAAGGGGUGAAAAGAACAAAGUUUUGUCCAUCUUUGUUCAUCAUAGCCUAAAGUUAGAGAAGAGAAAGGAGAGGAGAAAGCUCUUGAAUGUUAAGUCACUUGGGGAAGAAAAUUGAAGGCAGUUCGUGUGUGGAUCUCGUCAGCAUAUCGUCGCAAACAGGUGUGUAACUAACACCCUCUUUCUUAGUCUAGAUCGGCAAAAGUCAAAAAUUCGAAAUGCUAAAAAUCGGUAUUUUGUAGAUUUGCGAGUUUGCGAAUGCUCGUGAGGUAAAUCUAUUAAUGUUUUUGGUAAGCUGCAAUGUUUGGACUGCAAAGUGCAUUAUUUCUGCGCCCUCGAUAUUUUUGGGCUUAAUGGGCCAAAAUUAGAAUGAUGGGCCAACGGGCCCAAUUCGGUAAGAACCCUCGGUACGUGAUUCUGUAGUACGUGAAAGGUAGGAAUAUGCAUGAAAAACCCUAAAAUAGAUAAAUUAUUGAAAUACCUUUAAAAGUAGAAAAUUUACAAUUUUACCCCUAGGAGGUAAAUUACCGAAAUACCCCUAGGGUUAAAUUGACUUAAAUGCAUGUUUGACUGUUGUUAUUUACUGCAUGCCAUGUUUUUAUUAUCUGAUGCAUGGGAUUGGGAUAUUGACGGAGGAAGUACUGAAAGUGGCUUGUCCACGUACUGGAGGCUUUGCCUCAAUUUACUGUUAACUGAGCAGCAAUGCUGCAAUUGUGGAGUGUUGGGCUGGGUGGGUUGAGCUAUCCCCACAUGGAGUGUAUGGCUGGUACGGGUGGAGUGUAGUGGUUGGUGGGUUGAGUAGUCUCCCCAAAUGGGCUUGCAUAUGUUAUUGAUGUUGCAUGUAUUUUGAAAUGGACCUAUGGGCCAUAUUGUUAUCUAAAUAAGGGGCUAAGGCCCAGUUUAUUGUAAUCUGAAAAGGGCUCUGGCCCAGUACCACUGUUACCUGAAUGGGCUUAGGCCCAAUGGGCUGGAGUUGACUUGGGCUUUGAAUGAGUUUUCCUUACACACUGAGUUUCCCCAAACUCACCCCUUUUAUUUUCAUCCACGCAGGAAAUCCCCAACCAUAGUGGGCUUGGAGCUGUGAGGGAAUUCGGAGUGGCCACCCGUUCUAAAAGUUUGAUUUUCUUCUGGUGAACUGGACACCCUUUUAUUUACGUUUGAAGUUUUGGGUUUUUAAAUGUAAUAAGGCCGCUUAAUUAUUUUUGAUGGUUUUAAUAUAUAUUACUAAGAUAGGUAUUACUUAUUUUAACUGUUGAAAUUGGAUAGCUUUAGGGCACGUUUUCAAAAACAACAAUUGAUUUCAAAAUAACACGACAACAAGCAAAGCUUCCGCAAUGAAAGUAUUUUCCAAAAUUAAUCACUUUUCCUAAAAAUGACUUAAUCAAAUCAGUUUCCUAGAAAUAUCCAUGACGUUAAGGUGUGGCAAUGGCAGUAUGCAUGUCUAGGAUUGGAUCCGAAGGGAGCUUGGUACUUAAGUAGUCCGAUGGACUCACCACCUCUUUUCCGGUUUCCUACCUGGUGCAUAUCUUCCAUUCACUUUAACCUAUAAUGAAAUUAUCUUUUAAAACACUAAGUUUUUCUGGAUCAACAAUAUAAAAUAUUUUGAAUGCUUCGAUGUGGCAUAUCGGAUCUGGUCAUAACAUCUGGGCCGGGUUUGGGGUGUUACAUUUAGUGGUAUCAGAGCCUAGAUUGCAACAACUCGGUUAUGGAAUGGGUUUACAAAAACAAAGGUUUUUGAAAGCGAAAAUUUUAUAAAGAAUGCGAAAAAAACUCGAUUUUCAAAAUUUAGAUCUUUAGAAGGUGGCAUUCCGAAUCUCCAGCUCAAGUCUUUAAGUAUUCUAAAUUUUUCUGAAUAUUUUCCUCAAUUAUCUGUCUGUACUAAAACCCUACUAGGACACUCUAGAUAGGAUGAUACUGAAACCAUAGGAAAAUCUGAUAAGAGAUUGAAACUGUAGCUAGACUUCGAUUCUGCUAAAACAAACUUUAAAUUACUAUCUGAUUCAUAAAACAUCUAUAAUAAACACUGGAAUAUUGAAUUAAUGCAUAAAAAUUCGUAAUCAAGAUAAUACGAUAUGAGUACAAGAGCCGUUCGUGGAAGAGGCCGUGGACGGGGCCGAGGAAGUGCUCGAGUGAGAUCUUUGUCUUCGGGACAUAUGCCGGCGGUGGAUGCAUCGGUACCAUCGGCAACAAAGGUAGAGUCACAUGACUGCGGUGCCGGGGAUGAUGCCCUGUCACAAGCAAUGCUUCGUGUUUUGGAAAGGGUUAUUGGGGCAAGUACAGGCAAUAGAGUUCGGGGAUCUAUUUCUAAAUGACUUCGGGCUAACGGAGCAGAGAUCUUUAGGGGCGUGUCUGGUAUAGCCCCGAAUGUGGCGGAAUAUUGGUUGGAGGCCACAGAACGGAUUAUGGACAACUUGGACUGCUAUGAGAAGAUUGUGAGUGGGGUAUUUGUACUAAGUCCUUUGGGUCACUCGGUUAGGGUAAACAAACUGUAUAGGGAUGUACCCUUAGAAACUCAAGGUAGAAUUUUCCCUGAAGAUCUGAUGGGGUUACCGUUCGGAGAGUUUGAUCUCAUUUUGGGAAUGGACUCGCUUGUUAAGCAUAAGGCGACCCUGGAUUGUGCUGCUAAACGAAUGGUGUUAAGGACCACAAAGGAUGAGGAGGUUAUAGUGAUAGGUGAGCGAAGGGAUUAUUUGUCCAAUAUGGUGUCGGCUUUAAGAGUCGAAAAGUGGAUUCGGAAAGGUUGUGAGGCCUAUUUGGCAUUUGUAAGUCAGUCGGAAGAGAAGGGACUGACAAUGGAUAAGGUUAGGACCGUAAAGGAGUUCCAAGAUGUUUUUCUGGAGGAGCUUCCAAGAUUGCCUCCGAACCGAGGAGUUGAGUUUGGAAUAGAUUUGUUACCUGGAACGGCGCCUGUGUCCAUCACACUGUAUAGGAUGGCACCGAAGGAGUUAGUGGAGUUAAAGGCUCAAAUUCAAGAGUUGUUGGAUAGGGGCUUCAUUAGGUCAAGCGUGUCUCCAUGGGGAGCACCGGUGCUAUUCGUGAAAAAGAAGGAUGGUACGAUGCAGAUGUGCAUUGAUUAUCGCCAGUUGAACAAACUAACGAUUAAGAAUAAGUAUCCACUGCCAAGGAUUGAUGAUCUAUUUAACCAACUUAGAGGGGCUUCUGUAUUUUCUAAGAUCGACCUCCGAUUUGGAUAUCAUCAGUUAAGGGUCAAGGAGGCGGAUAUCCAUAAGACGGCAUUCAGGACUCGGUAUGGUCAUUACGAGUUUUUGGUUAUGCCAUUUGGACUGACGAACGCUCCUGCAGCAUUUAUGGAUCUGAUGAAUCGGGUGUUCCAACCAUUCUUGGAUCGAUUCGUAGUCGUCUUCAUUGAUGAUAUCCUGGUAUAUUCUGAAACUGAAGCGAAACAUGAUGAGCAUCUUCGUAUAGUGCUGCGAGUGUUAAGGGAGAAGGAACUCUUUGCGAAGUUCAGCAAGUCUGAACUUUGGUUGAGGGAGGUAACCUUCUUAGGACAUGAGGUCUCUGCUGAAGGGAUUAAGGUGGACCCUCAAAAGAUUGAAGCAAUUUUGGAGUGGAAGCCACCUAGGACGGUUUCAGAAAUUCGAAGUUUCCUAGGGUUGGCAGGAUACUACAGAAGGUUUGUGGAAGGUUUUUCUGUUAUGGCAGCACCCCUGACAAAACUCAUAAGGAAAAGAGAACCGUUUGUAUGGACUGAGAAGCAGCAGGGAGCUUUUGAGAAGUUGAAGAAAGUUUUGACGAAAGCACCAGUGUUAAUUCAGCCAGAGUCUGGGAAGGAUUUUUCUGUGUACAGUGACGCAUCAAACGUGGGUUUGGGCUGCGUGUUAAUGCAGGAGGGUAAGGUGGUUCCAUAUGCAUCACGACAGCUUAAACCUCACGAAGGGAACUAUCCUACUCAUGAUUUGGAGUUGGCGGCAGUGAUAUUUGCACUUAAGAUUUGGAGACAUUACUUGUACGGGGAUAGGUGUAUUAUAUACACAGACCACAAGAGUCUUAAGUAUUUGUUGACUCAGAAGGAGCUGAACCUUAGGCAAAGGAGAUGGAUUGAGUUGCUUAAGGAUUAUGAUUGUUCGAUCGAGUAUCACUCAGGCAAGGCUAAUGUGGUAGCCGAUGCUUUAAGUCGUAGAACCGUAUCUGAUCUGAGAGCAAUGUUUGCUCGUCUGAGUCUGUAUGAUGAUAGAAGUUUGUUGGCUGAGUUGCAAGUGAGGCCAACCUGGGUGGAUCAGAUUAAGGAAAAGCAGUUGAACGAUGAGUCUUUGGUCGCUCAUUUUCAACAAGUUAAGGAAGGGGAAACAUCUGAGUUUGGGUUAAAUGGCGAAGGAGUUUUGUGUUUCCGAGGAAGAAUUUGUAUUCCGAAGGACUCUGAUAUGAGGUAGACAAUAUUGAAGGAAGCUCAUGGAGGACUUUGUGCCAUGCACCUCGGAGGGAACAAGUUGUAUCAUGACUUACAAGAAUUGUACUGGUGGCUUGGACUUAAACGAGAAGUAACGGAGUUUGUAGGGAAAUGUCUGACAUGCCAACAAGUGAAAGCUGAGCAUCAAUUACCUUCUGGACUGUUACAGCCGGUGAAGAUACCACUUUGGAAGUGGGAGAGGGUAACCAUGGACUUUGUGAGUGGGUUGCCUUUGACACCAUCAAAGAAAGACUCGGUGUGGGUGAUUGUGGAUAGGUUGACCAAAUCAGCCCAUUUCAUACCUGUACGUACUGACUUUUCGCUUCAAAAGUUAGCCAAGCUGUAUGUGGCGGAGAUUGUACGACUUCAUGGAGUCCCAAUUUCGAUUGUCUCUGACCGGGAUCCCAGGUUUACAUCUCGGUUUUGGCAAAGGUUGCAUGAGGCGUUGGGGACGCGAUUGAAUUUUAGUACGACUUUCCAUCCCCAGACUGAUGGUCAAUUAGAAAGGGUUAUUCAGAUUCUGGAGGACAUGUUGAGGGGAUGCAUGAUUGACUUUCGAGGUAGUUGGGAGGAUUACUUGCCGUUGGCAAAAUUUGCGUACAAUAACAGUUACUAGGCGAGUAUUCGAAUGGCACCGUAUGAAGCACUGUAUGGACGAAGGUGUCGUACACCUAGUUGUUGGACCGAACUAGGAGAGCAACAAGUUCUUAGACCAGAGUUGGUAGCUGAUACUGAGGAUAAGGUCAGAAUAAUUAGGGACCGGUUAAAAGAAGCAUCUGAUAGGCAAAAGUCAUAUGCAGAUUUGAAGCGUAAGGAGAUUGAGUACUCAGUAGGUGAUAUGGUCUUCUUAAAGGUUUCUCCUUGGAAGAAGAUAUUAAGGUUUGGUAAGAAGGGCAAGUUGAGUCCGCGGUUCAUUGGGCCUUAUUGGGUUUUGAAGUGAGUAGGCCCAGUGGCUUAUCAGUUGGAAUUGCCUCCAGAGUUAGAAAGGAUUCACGAUGUUUUUCACGUCUCCAUGUUAAGGCGUUAUCGUUCUGACCCUGCUCAUGUCCUGCCAGUUGCAGAAAUUAAAGUUCAGACUGAUUUGACCUUUGAGGAGGAGCCUGUGCAAAUAUUGGCUCGAGAUGUUAAGGUUCUCAGAAGGAACUUUGUCCCGUUAGUGAAAGUACUUUGGCAUAAUCAUGGAAGGGAAUAAGCUACUUGGGAAUCAGAAGAGACUAUGCGUCAACAAUACCCUUAACUAGUUGGAUCAUGUAAAUUUCGAGGACGAAAUUUCUUUAAGGAGGGUAGAGUUGCAACGCCCCAAUUUUUGGGAAUUCUGUGAAUGUUGGCAUAGGUUUAAUUAUGUUAGUGGGCCUCUAGAAGGCCCAAGCUUAAGAUAGAACCCGAUAAUUUUAGUUAAUUUUUGUUCCAUAAGAAAAAGGGGGUGAAAUUAUGAAAUAGGACCUAUGUGAAAAUGUUUGAAAAUGCUAUAGGCUAAAUUGAAGUGGCCAAAUAAAUAGGAGUGCAAAAUAGGAGGAUUUGCAUGACAAACCUCCCAUUUUACAUGAAGUGGCCAGCCAUCAUGUUGUUGUAGACAAUAUGAGCACUUGAUAUCCAUAAUUUGUGGUACAAAUUGAUACAAAUUGAUAAUGGGUUAGGUAAAUGUUCCAUGAUAAUGGAUUAGGUAAUUAUUCCGUAAUAAUGGGUUAGGUAAAUGUUCCAUGAUAAUGGUUUAGGUAAAUGCUCUAUGAUGGGAAUUUCAUGUCUUUUGUAUUAAAGAAAUAAAUGGAUGAAAUAUGAAAUUUUAUUAAAAGAAAAAGGGGUGAAAAGAACAAAGUUUUGUCCAUCUUUGGUCAUCAUAGCCUAAAGUUAGAGAAGAGAAAGGAGAGGAGAAAGCUCUUAAAUGUUCGGUCACUUGGGGAAGAAAAUUGAAGGCAGUUCGUGUGUGGAUCUCGUCAACAUAUCGUCGUAAAUAAGUGUGUAACUAACACCCUCUUUCUUAGUCUAGAUCGGCAAAAGUCGAAAAUUCAAAAUGCUGAAAACCGGUAUUUUGUAGAUUUGCGAGUGUGCGAAUGCUCGUGACGUAAAUCUAUUAAUGUUUUUGGUAAGCUGUAAUGUUUAGACUGCAAAGUGCAUGAUUUCUGUGCCCUCGAUAUUUUUGGGCUUAAUGGGCCAAAAUUGGAAUGAUGUGCCAACGGGCCCAAUUUGGUAAGAACCCUCGGUACGUGAUUCUGUAGUACGUGAAAGGUAGGAAUAUGCAUGAAAAACCCUAAAAUAGAUAAAUUACUAAAAUACCUUUAAAAGUGGAAAAUUUACAGUUUUACCCCUAGGAGAUAAAUUAUCGAAAUACCCCUAGGGUUAAAUUGACUUAAAUGCAUGUUUGAAUGUUGUUAUUUACUGCAUGCCAUGUUGUUAUGAUCUGAUGCAUGAGAUUGGGAUAUUGACGGAGGAAGUACUGAAAGUGGCUUGUCCACGUACUGGAGGCUUUGCCUCAAUUUAUUGUUAACUGAGCAGCAAUGCUGCAACUGUGGAGUGUUGGGCUGGGUGGGUUGAGCUAUCCCCACAUAGAGUGUAUGGCUGGUACGGGUGGAGGGUAGUGGUUGGUGGGUUAAGUAGUCUCCCCAAAUGGGCUUGCAUAUGUUAUUGAUGUUGCAUGUAUUUUGAAAUGGGCCUAUGGGCCAUAUUGUUAUCUGAAUAAGGGGCUAAGGCCCAAUUUAUUGUAAUCUGAAAAUGGCUCUGGCCCAGUACCACUGUUACCUAAAUGGGCUUAGGCCCAAUGGGCUAAAGCUGACUUGGGCUUUGAAUGGGUUUUCCUUACACAUUGAGUUUCCCCAAACUCACCCCUUUUAUUUUCAUCCACGCAGGAAAUCCCCAACCAUAGUGGGCUUGGAGCUGUGAGGGAAUUCAAAGUGGCCACCCGUUCUGAAAGUUUGAUUUUCUUCUGGUGAACUGGACAUCCUUUUAUUUACGUUUGAAGUUUUGGGUUUUUAAAUGUAAUUAGGCCGCUUAAUUAUUUUUGAUGGUUUUAAUAUGUAUUACUAAGAUAGGUAUUACUUAUUUUAACUGUUGAAAUUGGAUAGCUUUAGGCCGC
rnacentral:lncRNA from 1 species